UAAUACUUUCUUGUUGCUAACUCCGGCUCUGUGCCUUGAUCCACUGUAACUCUCUGUCAGUGACCGCACAAAGCAACGCGAGCAAAUCUUGUUGUGAAGAAUUCAUAAAUAAAAUGAAGAAACGCACUAAAAAGAUGCUGCCUGACUUGUUGACUUUCUCCAGCAAUUUUUGUUUUGGAUGAAGAUUUCUAGCGUGGACCUAAUAGGUAUGGUUGCAGUCUGGGCUGGCUGCCGAAAAGGCCAACAGCAAGAGCACUGGCAAAGUGAGAAAAUAAUAAAUGCUAUCAUCCUGAGAGAGGAAGCAGGUUUGUGCUCUGUGAAAAUCAAUGUCACUUCUCUGAGGAGGCAUGUCAGCAACAGUAGUAAACUACACAUCUCUAUGAC